UACGUAGGGUGCGAGCGUUAAUCGGAAUUACUGGGCGUAAAGCGUGCGCAGGCGGUCUGUUAAGACCGAUGUGAAAUCCCCGGGCUUAACCUGGGAACUGCAUUGGUGACUGGCAGGCUUUGAGUGUGGCAGAGGGAGGUAGAAUUCCACGUGUAGCAGUGAAAUGCGUAGAGAUGUGGAGGAAUACCGAUGGCGAAGGCAGCCUCCUGGGCCAACACUGACGCUGAGAAGCGAAAGCAUGGGGAGCGAACAGG
rnacentral:rRNA from 1 species